rnacentral:rRNA from 1 species
GGAGGGUGCAAGCGUUAUCCGGAUUUAUUGGGUUUAAAGGGUGCGCAGGCGGAAUGAUAAGUCAGUGGUGAAAUCCUACGGCUCAACCGUAGAACUGCCAUUGAUACUGUUGUUUUUGAGUACAGUUGUAGUGGGCGGAAUAUGUCAUGUAGCGGUGAAAUGCAUAGAUAUGACAUAGAACACCGAUCGCGAAGGCAGCUCACUAAGCUGAAACUGACGCUCAGGCACGAAAGCGUGGGGAGCAAACAGGAUUAGAUACCCUGGUAGUCCACGCUGUAAACGAUGAUUACUCGUUGUUGGCGAUACACUGUCAGCGACUGAACGAAAGUAUUAAGUAAUCCACCUGGGGAGUACGGUCGCAAGAUUG